rnacentral:rRNA from 1 species
CCUACGGGUGGCAGCAGUAGGGAAUAUUGCUCAAUGGGCGAAACCCUGAAGCAGCAACGCCGCGUGGAGGAUGAAGGUUUUCGGAUUGUAAACUCCUUUUGUUAGAGAAGAUAAUGACGGUAUCCAACGAAUAAGCACCGGCUAACACCGUGCCAGCAGCCGCGGGAAUACGGAGGGUGCAAGCGUUACUCAGAAUCACUGGGCGUAAAGAGCGCGUAGGCGGGAUAGCAAGUCAGAUGUGAAAUCCUAUGGCUUAACCAUAGAACUGCAUUUGAAACUGUUAUUCUAGAGUAUGGGAGAGGUAGGUGGAAUUCUUGGUGUAGGGGUAAAAUCCGUAGAGAUCAAGAGGAAUACUCAUUGCGAAGGCGACCUGCUAGAACAUAACUGACGCUGAUGCGCGAAAGCGUGGGGAGCAAACAGGAUUAGAUACCCCAGUAGUC